rnacentral:rRNA from 1 species
AGCCUGAUGCAGCCAUGCCGCGUGUGUGAAGAAGGCCUUCGGGUUGUAAAGCACUUUCAGUCGUGAGGAAGGUGGUGUCGUUAAUAGCGGCAUUAUUUGACGUUAGCGACAGAAGAAGCACCGGCUAACUCCGUGCCAGCAGCCGCGGUAAUACGGAGGGUGCGAGCGUUAAUCGGAAUUACUGGGCGUAAAGCGCAUGCAGGUGGUUAGUUAAGUCAGAUGUGAAAGCCCGGGGCUCAACCUCGGAACUGCAUUUGAAACUGGCUGACUAGAGUACUGUAGAGGGGGGUAGAAUUUCAGGUGUAGCGGUGAAAUGCGUAGAGAUCUGAAGGAAUACCAGUGGCGAAGGCGGCCCCCUGGACAGAUACUGACACUCAGAUGCGAAAGCGUGGGGAGCAAACAGGAUUAGAUACCCUGGUAGUCCACGCCGUAAACGAUGUCUACUUGGAGGUUGUGGCCUUGAGCCGUGGCUUUCGGAGCUAACGCGUUAAGUAGACCGCCUGGG